UACAGAGGGGGCAAGCGUUGUUCGGAAUUACUGGGCGUAAAGCGUGCGCAGGCGGUUAUGCAAGACAGAUGUGAAAUCCCCGGGCUCAACCUGGGAACUGCAUUUGUGACUGCAUAGCUGGAGUGCGGCAGAGGGGGAUGGAAUUCCGCGUGUAGCAGUGAAAUGCGUAGAUAUGCGGAGGAACACCGAUGGCGAAGGCAAUCCCCUGGGCCUGCACUGACGCUCAUGCACGAAAGCGUGGGGAGCAAACAGG
rnacentral:rRNA from 1 species